AGGGUUAAUGAAUAGUUAAUUCUUAAAAGAAUUCUUCUGCUAGGAGCAAACCUGGUUGUCAUGUUUUGGUGAUUGGCAGAUUAGCACUUAUGAUCAUGGAAAAAUAUAUAUUAGAUUUAUUCUUUGGCCUUAAACUUUCUUAAGAUAUAAAGUUUGAUCAUCAGAUUAAUACCCAAGCAUUUAUUAUUGAAUGUUAUUGGAGCGCCUGUACUUGUACCAAACUGGAUUAUUAUUUUGCUUUUGGUGGUGAUGGGCAAAUCAACACUGUGCAUUUAUUAUUGACUGUUAUUGGAGCUCCUGUACUUUUUCAAACUGGAUUAUUAUUUUGUUUUUGGUGAUGGGCAGAUCAUUACUAUGGUUUUCAAGGAAAGAUGUCUUAUUUCCAAUUUUAAAGAAUCUUGCUGAAAUCUUAAUGUUUUUCCUUCAACUUUAUUCUGGUUCCAUAUUGUAUCUAAAAUAAAUUAAGAAUGC